AUGGCCGCGGUAUUUUGACCGUGCAAAGGUAGCAUAAUCAUUAGUUUUUUAAUUGAAAGCUGGAAUGAAUGGUUGGACAAGAAAAUUUCUGUCUCUAUCUAAUUUUUAGAAUUUUAUUUUUUAGUCAAAAAGCUUAAAUUUUUUUAAGGGACGAGAAGACCCUAUAGAAUUUUACAAAUUUGUUUGUUUUUGAUUUUUAGUUUAAUUAUAAGAGAAUAAGUUAGGUUUGUUUAAUUGGGGUGAUUGAAAAAUUUAAGAAACUUUUUUUAAUUUAAAUCAUUGAUUUAUGAAUAGUUGAUCCAUUAAUUGUGAUUAUAAGAUUAAAUUACCUUAGGGAUAACAGC
rnacentral:rRNA from 2 species